rnacentral:lncRNA from 1 species
UUCGCCAUAGAUCAAUGGCCGAGGUCGCAGAGUUGAGCUAGGAAGUGCCGAUCUCGAAGGUCAGAUGCUUCUAUUUAGCUCAACCUACUUUCCAUGCCUAUAUACCCGAGAAGGCCAAGCUAUGAUGCUUCGGAAGAAAUCCAAAUACGCCAUUUGGGUUGUGAGCUAAAAAUAUCCUCAUACACCACAUCAUAACAAUUAUUAAAUAUCCACCAAGAAUAGCUUGUCACAAAACCAACUUGUAGAGAUAUUUCUGGGCACAGUUAUUUUGUAACCUCUCUUUCCUUUUCUUCCCAGGGGUUCGAUCUUAUUAAUCUUCUUCCUCUCCUCUCUACUAUAGCAUGGAAUUCUUAUGGAUCCUUCACAAGGAUGAGGUCUUCAUCAACGUGCCAAGGUACCCCAGCUGGCACUUAAUUCAAUGGGCUAUGGAAAAGGUGGCUCAAAUGGAAACUGAGCUAGGGUCCCUUCGAGCAAAGGAAUUGUUGAUGGUCUGAUAGCAAGUCGUUGAGGCCGAGAGAAAGGCCCUCUGAGUGAUUGAGGAACAGAAGUUCUUACCGACUCCUUCCAGCAGGGCUUCUAGGAAUUUCAGAAAGGAACAUGUAAACUUAAUUUAGCCAAACCUCAUUGCUUUGCUCCUAGCGGGAGUUGUUCCAAUUAGAAAAGGUAAGAUUCAUUGGACGAGCACCUUUCAUCAAGGCACAAUGAGUAGGCUCUUGGACGGAUCUCCCCUUUGGGCUUGGGACAAGGUGCCAAGGCUUGAUCAACUUGUCUCUCAUUCUUCUUCUUUUCUCCUCUCUUUUUUUCUAGCAGCC